rnacentral:rRNA from 1 species
GAUGAACGCUGGCGGCGUGCCUAAUACAUGCAAGUCGAGCGAACAGACGAGGAGCUUGCUCCUCUGACGUUAGCGGCGGACGGGUGAGUAACACGUGGAUAACCUACCUAUAAGACUGGGAUAACUUCGGGAAACCGGAGAUAAUACCGGAUAAUAUAUUGAACCGCAUGGUUCAAUAGUGAAAGACGGUUUUGCUGUCACUUAUAGAUGGAUCCGCGCCGCAUUAGCUAGUUGGUAAGGUAACGGCUUACCAAGGCAACGAUGCGUAGCCGACCUGAGAGGGUGAUCGGCCACACUGGAACUGAGACACGGUCCAGACUCCUACGGGAGGCAGCAGUAGGGAAUCGUCCGCAAUGGGCGAAAGCCUGACGGAGCAACGCCGCGUGAGUGAUGAAGGUCUUCGGAUCGUAAAACUCUGUUAUGAGGGAAGAACAAAUGUGUAAGUAACUAUGCACGUCUUGACGGUACCUAAUCAGAAAGCCACGGCUAACUACGUG